GUUAGCUCAAUCGGUAGAGCGUGAGACUCUUAAUCUCAAGGUUGCGGGUUAGUAAUCUAUCCUGCAC
rnacentral:tRNA from 1 species